rnacentral:tRNA from 1 species
GGAGAGGUGGGUGAGUGGCUGAAACCGACGGAUUGCUAAUUCGUUGUGCGGGUAACACCGUACCGAGGGUUCGAAUCCCUCCCUCUCCG